GUCACAGUUGGUCUUGUGAUCAGUUCCCCUUGGUGAGAAACAUUCCCUCCAGUGAACAGCACAGUAAUGAACAACACUUUGUAACGCCUCCUCUCAGCAGGUUGAGCUUGUUUGAAUUAGAGGAUCUUGCUGUUUGCUGCAAAUACGGGUCUGGUGUUCAGACUAUGUUGGUUUUCCAAUCCAUUUAACAAAUACCCCUCUUACUGCACCGUGUAAACUUGCACAACACUCUGAAGGACACCGCUCACAUCCCGAGCUGCAGCAUAUUCAUGAAAAUCAAAUAAUAUCGGUUUCUAAACCUCCAGUGUUUGUCAAAUAUAUAUGCUCAGCAGUCCACAUCAGAAGAUGAUGGUGCUGCCCAGUAGUUUUAGAGGGAAUGAGUAGCAGUAACAGGACUCCUAAAGAACACUGUGCCAGCUCCACAGACCCAGCAGGCCAAAAAUAAGGGUGAUUCAUCAUGUGUUAUAUUCUGGGAAAUAAAUUGUGAAAUAAAAUGCCUCUCUAUGUGCAGUUCCAAAAUCGCUAGCGCAGUCAGAUUCCUCAGCCUCAGUCGGGCAGUGGUCUUUCAGCCCCCAGUGAACCUGCCUUUAUCUAUCAAGGCUUCUUUACAGCCCGAGCUCCUGCAUGAUGCUUUCCCCUUUCACAGAUCCAUUGGAGUGAGCGAGUCAGUCAGUCACGGCAAACAUUAUAUAAGUCCAAUCAAUCUGAGUUAUAAAAACCUUGACAUAGGCUGAGGCCGCGGCACUGCAGAAAUUUACAGCUGCUUAGAUUGCAGGUCAUUUCCCCGUGUCAUGUGCGUACACACACUGCAUGUGCCCGCUGCAGCAGUGAAAAUAAAACCCUGCUUGUGAGAGACUACGAAUCAGAGUUUUACUCCCUCUUUGGAGCAAUCAUGAAUGACUGGGUACAUUUACGGCAUCAGAUGACUUUAAUAUUCUUUGGUUGGCCAUAAACUGAGAGGGUGUUGUGCUUGCUGCAGGUCUUUGUGUAGAAAGCUUGACGCUUUUAGGAAUGAUGACUACACUGGCAGACUGAAGUAGCCCUCAAGACCUCUAGGUGGCGGCAGAGACUGUUAAUCUUCCCGAGGGGAGUGAUUACUAUUCACAGCACUAACCAGGGUACAUAUCAACCCAGGACGUACACGAAUCGAUUCAGUUUAAUGUAUACCCAGGGUUGCACAGAAUGAAAUAUUUACUCGUAUAUGACUCGAGAGUGGCUGUUAUUAGAUGGCGCAGGAUGCUGCUGUCAUCACCUUGGGAAUACUUAGCUCUGUGUCUCUAGAUGCACGUGUGUGACCGGCAAGUUUUUAGCAUCCACAUCCAAAAUGAUUCAAGAAAAAAUGCUGUCUCACUCCAAAGGCACUGGGGGGAAGCACAUUCUGUAUGUGUAUGCGCGCGCGCACACACACACACACACACACACACACACACACACACACACACACACACACACACACACACACACACACACACACACACACACACACACACACACACACACACACACACACACACACACACACACACACACACACACACACACACACACACACACUGCAGCCUGGCCUCUCCCCGACUGUCUUGAUGUGCCCUGUUUGCAGCUCUCGCUGAGGAUUUGUGCUGCGUUCGUCUUUGUUUAUUACACAAGUCUGUAUUUGUCAUGGAGGUGGCUGUGAACUCUUCGUAUCUCCAAAAACACACCCACACCUUUACUAAUGUGUGUUAAUUUAUGUAACAUUUGUUGUUCGCAUAUUUGUUUCAGUGAUCCUUUAUCCUCUGUGUACAGCAUACACAGAGCGGGCAUGUCUAUAGUCUGCAGAUGGAACUACCCGUUGGGUAUAAUAAUAUAUGCACUGAAAUUAAAGGCAUUAUGCAAAUUGAACAUACAAUGUGCUCAAAGCUAUAUCUCCAUCUUCUUUAUGCAUGCAGGCUGGAUUCGAUGAAUCUCUGUGAGAGCACUUAAACCAAUGAUUGAAGUCGAUAUACUGCACCUGAACGGACGCCAAGCUAUACAGAUUAACAAUAUGACAUACUGGAAGCAAUAUUACAGUUAUGUUAGGGCAAUCUGUUAAACUGUCUCAAGGCUGACCACAUGAAGAGAAGGAGGAUUUAUGGUUUUGGUGCGCCUGCAUGUGUGUUUUCUCCUUACAGGAAAAGGUUUUCAAUUUCCCUGUUAUUUGUCAAUUUUUGGCAGUUAUAUAAACCCUACCCCAGCUGGCUGGUUUCCUGCACAAUUGACUGCUAUUAAUGUUUAUGCAUAAUUGCAUUACAUAAUGUGUUGUGCUGUGUUUUAGAGGAGUCAAGCAGCUGUGGCUAUUGGUUGUCUCUGCCGUGCACGAGAGUCAAGCACUUAGCUACACUGCCAGACAACAGGCUGAUCAUAAACGGGGGCUGUCACAGGUCAUUGUCAGUUUCAAGCCAUAUCAAUGGGGCUUUUGUAACCUCUACAGUACUUCAAUAUAUUUUGUCAAUGAAUUGUAAGAUUUUAAGUCCAGGGAGAUUUGAUUCAUUUAUAUUCCUUUUAUCAGACCGUCGCUAAUUUAAACACAGCAGUCGUACAAUGUCAUCAGUGACAGACAGAGAAAUCAAUCUCUGUUAUAGAGAGAGAGAGUGGAGAGAGAGAGAGAGAGAGAGAGAGAGAGAGAGAGAGAGAGAGAGAGAGGGAGACGUGGAAGGAGAGGCGAACAUUUGCUGCGGCUGACUCUGCCCGUCCGUUCCCCAGCAGAUGGUGGUGCAGCAUCGCAGAGGAGCUUCUCUCAGAACAGGAUGAAAAUGGUGCAGGAGGCGAGCUGUCUGAAAAUGAACGCUGCAGAUUCUGAGUGUCUGGCAAGCCAUAGCGGAGCUUUACGGUCCAAGAAGAGGAAAGCUGCUGUCUUUUCUCGGUGGAGACACGAAAGCAAACACAGUCGUGUGCCAGUGACUGGUCGGUGCGACAUUUAUCUUUAGAGGACGAGCCGUAUUGUAAAUGAACCGCGUAGUUGCUGUACCGCAGCGCUGAGGAAUAUCUUCCGUAUCUCGAUGUGGAGAAGAAAUCCUGACAAAG